rnacentral:lncRNA from 1 species
GAAAGAAUUGUCAAUAAGCUCACGAGUCGAGCAAGUGUUACCUCAUGCUUGGCUCUCGUAUCAAGUGACUUUUACAAGACUACACCGAAUUGCUCGCGACAGUUUGGUCUUUAACAGACCCAAGUACCAUCAACAAGGGUACAAUUUGAACUCAACAAGUCCUCUAAUAAUCAUAUGCGACAAAUCCUGCCGUAAGCUCACGAGUCAAGCAAGUGCUAUCUCAUGCUUAGCUCUCUUAUCAAAGGCCAACCCGCACUUCCGAGCAAUUUUUACAAGACUACACCGGAUUGCUCGCAAUGGUUUGGUAAUUAAACAGCCCCAAGUACCAUUGACAAAGGUACAAUCAUAUGCUACUGAUCCUGCGGUCCAGUAAAACCAGAAAAACAAAUACUUCUUCCUUUCUAAGACUAGGACACUUCAUUCAACAGAGAGUAAAUCCAGAAAGAUCUCCCCCGCGAGUCCAAAGCAAAGCAGUACGUGCAGUUCAUCAAUGUCUCCUCUGAACGAUUUACGACCAGAAAAAUAAAAACCCUAACGUAAACCAGGGGAGCAGCUUACCGGUCUCGAGAACAAUAAAUAUUUUAGGCACACAACUCUGAAAAUACAUCGAAUUUUUUUGCAAAACUGUCUGUCCCCCCCCCCCCCCACCGAUACAGCAGACUGACCUUAUUACUGUCACUAUGCUUUGGUUGAAGCAUCUUGGUCGUCGGUCUCCAUUGGCUCAGCGGUGGCAGCAGCGCCAUCACCACUGUUAUUCUCGUUCGCGUCAGGGGGCCCGGCAUUCACGGGGUUUCCCUCGCUGCCUUGAGGCUGUUGCUGCUCGGGAGAUGCUGCAGGUGCUUCUGGAGUCGCUGGCUUUGGCGGGGUGGGCUUGGCUUUAGUCAUCACUGGCCGGCAAAACCUGCGAAGUUACGAAAACGAUUAGCAUUCACGUAAAGGAACUACAAGCUUGUUUUAUUCCGCCUCAAAUCACUAGCUAUUUUCAAUCACAAAUUCAAACAAGGUGGAAAUUACCUGUCGAGGGCUUCAGCUUUCUUCCUCACAUCAGCAGACAAGAGAGCCGGAUUGGCGUACUUGGGCAGGGAGUCCUGCAGCUGCUUCUUCUCCCUUAGCCACGAUUCCGCCUCCACGCACUCGCUCAAUACCUGCAGAAGAAUUGCCAAAGCAUAGUUAUAGAAUACUGAUUUCGAAAUCAAUAAAUAUAAGUGGGCGAAAGAAAGUGGGACAUACCUUCUGCUUUUCAGCCAUGUCAAUGUGCUCGAAUUUAGGGUCGGUCGACAUGGCAGCUUCUCUGUAGCUGUUGACGCAAUAAACAAGUUGGUCGAUUACAGAUCCCCUCUCGGAGUGCUCCUUGUACCGGUGCUCAAUCGGAUCACCUUGCUGCAAUUUUUCCGGCCAAGUUCAUCAGAUAAGAACAUUGGUCAACUCAGUAAAACCAAAGAUGCAAUAUUUUCAGACAAUUUUGUCAAUUAAGAACAUCGGUCACCUCAGGAAGAAGAAAGAUGCAAUAUUUUCAGACAAGUUUAUCAAUUAAGUAGAUCAGUCCACUCAAAGACGAAAGAAAGCAAGCAAUUUCAUACCUUCUUAAGCUCUUCCAACUUUGCGACGUAAACACCUUUGGUUUCAUCUUCUCCAUCUUCGUACAGCCAGUCCUCUACCAGCUGUAGUUUGCUUAAGAACUCUUCCCUCUCUGGCUCCGUGACGAAGUCAUGGAACAUGUCACCAAGCUGAAACGAAUAAACACAUUAGCGAGAUAAAGAAACCAAAACAGUAAUUUGUACAGAAACCCAGAGAAUUUAAAUCUUACUUUGUUCCUCAUCUCAUACACAUAAGCUUCAACGGCAUUCUUCUUGUCUUUGGUUUCCUCCAUCACACGAUCUUGUAAAGCCAUCUCAAACUCCUUUUCAACUGCUUUCUGAAGAUCAGCUGAUGGUAAUCCACCAUGGACAAGUUCUGAAACCGGAAUGUUGGAUUUCUUAACUUUCUUCUUGGGAGCAUCAGGCUACAAAUUUUUUUAAAAGAAACAUCAGACAAGCAACGCCAAGCAAGCUGCAGAAAUGAUGCGUAAUAAUUGGUAGUAAAGACAAACCUUGCUAUCUGUUUCCAUCUGUGUAGGUUUCUCACCAGAGUCCGAAACCCCAUUUUCAGCACCAGUACCAUCUACUUGCGGCUUUACAUCAGCUUCACUUCCGCUGGGAGGUACAGCAUCAUUCAGAUUAUCAUCAGUCUCCAUCUUGGUGGCGGGCUCUUUGGAAACAGGUAUCUCAACCUCUUCUUCUUCCAAUAGCUGUGCAGACUCCACAGAUACAAUACCAUGCAGAUUCAAGCGAGUUCUCACCUUGACCUUAGCACGAUCAUUCUUUGUGGCCUGGAAAGGGCCAAUCUAGACAAAAUAACAACAAAAUUUUACAAUCAGCAAAAUGAAGAACACUACAAAUCAGAAAGCACAGCUUCUUAACGCAUCCAACUUCCAUACCGUAUAAGAGCUGAUCUUCGUAGGUGCCUGAAGUCCAUCCGUGUCUGUGUAUUGAACAUCAACAGAGAAUGUUUCUUGCCGAAAGAAUGUCAGAGAUUUGAUACUGGGCAAUGGAUUUCCGCGGGGAAAAACAACAGUGCUCUGUUGAUUGUCAGCAGCGCCAUUUUCAGUGUCGGGUGCAGCACCUUUCCACGUCAGAGCUAUGGAGAACGGAAAACUCUCAUGAACCUACAAGUUAACCAUCAGAAAAAUGUGUAACGAUCGAGAAAGGUUGUGCCAGUUAUAAGUAGCAGGAACUACGUACUUGUCUAGCACACGAAAAAAAACUAAACAGAGAGAGAAAAAACUUCACCUGGAAUUCUCUGACUUUGAAGGUCGGACUGAGCAUAGCACAUUGCAAGGCACAACCCCUGGCAACGCACUCACUCGCAUUCAUGGACCGUCUGGGCUCCUUACCAAAAAACUCUGUCAAUAUCUUGAAAACAGAAGGUAUACGAGAUGCAGAACCAAUAACCUCAACAGUGUGAACACCAUCAACUGUUAGUCCUGCAUCUUGAAGAGCCUUCUCCAAUGGCUUUUUCACACGAUCCAAUAUCGGCAUACUAAUCUGUUCAAACUCGUCUCUCUUGAUGAAACCUCUCACAUCUUUCUCCUCCAUUAAACACUCGAUAUUUAGAGGAGCCUCUGGAUUGGCACUGAGCACCUUCUUGAGCUUCUCACAAGCUGCCCUAAGCCUGAGACAAGCCCUAGCGUUCUGGAACACAUCUAUCUUGUACUCGUCCUUGAACUUUGCAGCAAAGUGAUUGAAGAGGGCUUCAUCGAAGUCUCUCCCUCCAAGGGACCGAUCAAAGGCAUGUGAAAGUACCUUAAGCUGGCCCUUCUUGAAUCCAACAAUGCAAACCUGCAUGCUUGCAUGUCCAACAUCAACAAACGCAACAUUCAGUUGAUCGUUUUCAGGAAGGUCAGUCUUGUAAAUGCCAUAACCAAGUGCAGUAGCCGUCGUUUCAUGAAACAAACGAAGUGGAUGUAGCCCUGCAAUCGUCGCAGCAUCCAUGACAGCUCUUCUCUGCAGAUCAGUGAAAUAAACAGGGAUCCCUAUGCAGCAAUCAACAACAGCAGCAUUGAGGUUCUUCUCAGCUAUCUCUUUCAAAUUAGACAGCACCAUCCCAAGAACCUGAGUAGGCGUGAAGGUCCUCAUCUCACCCAAAUAGCGAGCAUGAAUCAAAGGGAAUCCAUCAGGCCCUUCCGAGACAGUGUACGGCAACGACUUGAGAUCCUUCUGCAACUCAGGAUCAUUGAACGUGCGGCCAAUUAAACGCUUGAUCUGACUAAUAGAGUUCUUAGGGUUCGUCAUAGUCGUAGCAGCCCCAGCAGUACCAAUAAACCGCUGCUUCUCUCCGAAGCAAACAAUGGCCGGAGUCUCACGCUUUGAUUCAUCAUUAAGAACGACAUCAAUCCCUCUCUGCCUCGCCACAGCAACAAUGCAGUUCUCAUUCCCAAAAUCAAAACCGACCACACUCAUGUUUCCUUACUUAAUUUACUGAACGAUUCAGAAUCCUCUGACAAAUUUCAACAACCUGAACAAGACAAACAGCAUAAAAAUAAUUAGGAUUCAAUCCUUACAUCUAAUCAUAUGAUAGUCAUCAAAGCAGCAAAGCAUCAGAUCCACUGGAGAUACAAUCGCUCUGGCAUUGACAAAUAAGCACACACCAAUAUAAAAAAAAAUUGAAAACAAAACUCUGUAAGCUACAAUUGAUUGGUUGCAACGAUGGCGCAUCUAAAACAUGAAGAAUUCUUCAAACUUUAACCCGAUCCAAUCUGCUACACAACAAACACUGCUCACAUAGAAUCUAAAAGUAAGUCUCAAAUUCGCAGAACCGAGUACACAGCACCGCAAAAUCAAGCAGCUAAUCCGUGCAGGCAGACAAACAAUCAAAACUCAUAUACAAAGACAAGUACAAGAACUGAAUCUGGCAGAAACAACAAUAGAAACUCACAGAUCUGCAAAAGCGAAGACAAAUCGGGCUAAGAUUCAAACAAAAGAGAGUAGAGGAACAGAAGUUAAUCGUUCUAGGGUUGAACGAAUCGCACCUUAUAAAAGCGAGAAGGAAGACGGAGGUGUGGGGGG